UACGAAGGGGGCUAGCGUUGCUCGGAAUCACUGGGCUUAAAGCGCACGUAGGCGGAUUCCUAAGUCGGGGGUGAAAUCCUGGAGCUCAACUCCAGAACUGCCUUCGAUACUGGGAAUCUUGAGUCCGGGAGAGGUGAGUGGAACUGCGAGUGUAGAGGUGAAAUUCGUAGAUAUUCGCAAGAACACCAGUGGCGAAGGCGGCUCACUGGCCCGGUACUGACGCUGAGGUGCGAAAGCGUGGGGAGCAAACAGG
rnacentral:rRNA from 1 species